rnacentral:rRNA from 1 species
UACGGAGGGUGCAAGCGUUGUCCGGAAUCACUGGGCGUAAAGGGCGCGUAGGCGGCUCAUGAAGGCUGUGGUGAAAGUCCGGGGCUCAACCUCGGAUCGGCCGUGGCGACUCGUGGGCUGGAGCACUGUAGAGGCGGGUGGAAUUCCGGGUGUAGCGGUGGAAUGCGUAGAGAUCCGGAAGAACACCAGUGGCGAAGGCGGCUCACUGGACCGGUACUGACGCUGAUGCGCGAAAGCGUGGGGAGCAAACGGG